rnacentral:rRNA from 1 species
CCUACGGGUGACAGCAGUGGGGAAUAUUGCACAAUGGGGGGAACCCUGAUGCAGCGACGCCGCGUGAGUGAAGAAGUAUUUCGGUAUGUAAAGCUCUAUCAGCAGGGAAGAAAAUGACGGUACCUGACUAAGAAGCACCGGCUAACUACGUGCCAGCAGCCGCGGUAAUACGUAGGGGGCCAGCGUUAUCCGGAUUUACUGGGUGUAAAGGGAGCGUAGACGGUUAUGCAAGUCUGAAGUGAAAACCGAAGGCUCAACCAUGGGACUGCUUUUGAAACUGUCAAACUAGAGUACGGGAGGGGUAAGAGGAAUGCGUAGUGUAGCGGUGAAAUGCGUAGAUAUUAGGAGGAACACCAGUUGCGAAGGCGUCUUACUGGACCGAAACUGACGUUGAGGCUCGAAAGCGUGGGGAGCAAACAGGAUUAGAUACCCGAGUAGUC